CUUGAUCGACCCCAACCACAGCGGCCGAUCGGCCGGACGCCCCUGCCCAUACGUGGCCAGCAGCGCCUGCGCCUC
rnacentral:antisense_RNA from 1 species